AGGAAUUUAGGUUAACCCUAGACCAAGAGCCUUCAAAGCUCUAAGCAAGUAACUAUACUUAAUUCCUG
rnacentral:tRNA from 1 species